rnacentral:lncRNA from 1 species
AGAAGCCUGUUCUACCUAAGAGAGAGAACUGGACAAAAAUGCUGAACAGAUUGAUGGUUCACACUCUGUUUCAAAUAUAGAAAAUUAUCUAGAUGAAUGGAGUAAUUUCUCCUUAAGAAGAAAAUCCUCAGAAUUUCCAGGUUGCUGAUCUGAGUGUUGAAGUAUCUACAGGGACAAGGAACGAGAACCAUACCAACACUUGGUGUUGCUGAGUACAAGACUAGCUGACUAUAGAGACUAGACUGGCUCAAAAAUGUGACUUGCUGGAAACUUGCCUGAGACAAUAGGAGUCAAUCAUCUUUCAAGUUCAAAGGAGGCCCUGGAACAGAGUCAAUCAGAGAAGAGGAAGGUGCACGAGGAGUGGAAGGGGAAAGACUUGCUCGUCAAGGAAUAUGGAUGAUGAGAGAGAAGGAGGAAAUGAGUCUACUUAGACGUCAAGACAGGCAGCAGAAGAAAAUCAGAAAUGGAAUAAAUUCCAAAGGUAUUGGAACUCCAAAGGCUAACACCUGGAAGCCAUCACCUGCAGAUGCCCAGCCGCCACACACUGUACCCUGCACAGCGGUGUGGGUGCUAAUGGAGAGACCUUGA